UGAGUUAGUGGCGAACGGGUGAGUAUCGCGUGGAAAACCUGCCGUAUACUGGGGGAUAACACUUAGAAAUAGGUGCUAAUACCGCAUAACAGUAGGAGACGCAUGUCUUUUACUUGAAAACUCCGGUGGUGUAAGAUGGACCCGCGUCUGAUUAGCUUGUUGGCGGGGUAACGGCCCACCAAGGCAUCGAUGGAUAGGGGUUCUGAGAGGAAGGUCCCCCACACUGGUACUGAGACACGGACCAGACUCCUACGGGAGGCAGCAG
rnacentral:rRNA from 1 species